AUUGUUUAAAGCUAAUAAAUAGUAUUUCAUUGUUAAUGAAAUUAAGAGUUUUACUCUAAACAAUA
rnacentral:tRNA from 1 species